CCUGAUAACUCAGUUGGUAAAGAAUCUGCCUCCAAUGCAGGAGACCCUGGUUUGAUUCCUGGGUCAGGA
rnacentral:tRNA from 1 species